GACAGAGGAUGCAAGCGUUAUCCGGAAUGAUUGGGCGUAAAGCGUCUGUAGGUGGCUUUUUAAGUCCGCCGUCAAAUCCCAGGGCUCAACCCUGGACAGGCGGUGGAAACUACCAAGCUGGAGUACGGUAGGGGCAGAGGGAAUUUCCGGUGGAGCGGUGAAAUGCGUAGAGAUCGGAAAGACCACCAAUGGCGAAGGCACUCUACUGGGCCAUGACUGACACUAAGAGACGAAAGCUAGGGGAGCAAAUGGG
rnacentral:rRNA from 1 species